CAGCCGCCGCGGGAAGACGAAGGUGGCGAGCGUUGUUCGGAAUCACUGGGCAUAAAGCGCACGUAGGCGGUGACGUAAGUCGGGUGUGAAAUCCCUCGGCCUAACCGAGGAACUGCGCCCGAUACUGCGUUGCUUGAGGAUCAGAGGGGUGCAUGGAAUUUCCGGUGGAGCGGUGAAAUGCGUUGAUAUCGGAAGGAACUCCGGCGGCGAAAGCGAUGCACUGGCUGAUUUCUGACGCUGAGGUGCGAAAGCCAGGGGAGCAAACGGGAUUAGAGACCCGCGUAGUCCCUGUCUCUUAUAC
rnacentral:rRNA from 1 species